UAGUGAACCAGUACCGUGAGGGAAAGGUGAAAAGCACCCGGAAGGGGAGUGAAAUAGAUCCUGAAACCGUGUGCCUACAAGUAGUCAGAGCCCGUUAAUGGGUGAUGGCGUGCCUUUUGUAGAAUGAACCGGCGAGUUACGAUUGCAUGCAAGGUUAAGGUGAGAAGCCGGAGCCGCAGCGAAAGCGAGUCUGAACAGGGCGACAGAGUAUGCAGUUGUAGACCCGAAACCAGGUGAUCUACCCAUGUCC
rnacentral:rRNA from 1 species